GGAAAAGAUUUUAUUUCCUUUACCCACUUUUUAGUCAAAUGCGUGGGUCUUUAUAUACAAGAAAAAUAUAACAAACUACUGCUAACAACCUCCUACCAGAUUGGAGUAAUAGGCUCUUUUAUUGACACAUAUUUAACUGAUUCAGUCAAACCAGAAAUAAUAGGAACCGAGAAAUUCUACUGACUUAUUCAAUAAUAAAACAGGAAACUAACUAAAACUAAAAACUAGUUCAGCAAGUAUGCACUAAUUUGUUAUACUCCCCAUUAGUGCAUAAUUAGGAUCAACAACUCCAAGAGCAGCUCUAAAUAUUUCAAAUUUAGGCUUAGGCAACGGUUUUGUAAAUAUAUUUGCAACUUGAUCUUCAGUAUGGACUUCUUUUAACUCGAUCUCUUGAUUAAGCACUUUCUCCCGAAUGAAGUGAUGGCAGACAUCAAUAUGUUUUGUUCUUCUGUGAAAAACUGGGUUUAAAGCAAGCUUAAUUGCACUUUCAUUAUCACAGUGAAUCGGCACUAGAUAAUUUACCUUUAAAAAAAUGUCUCCCAUUAGAUAUCUUAACCACAUGCAUUCUUGUGCAGCCAUUGUUGCUGCCAUAUACUCUGCUUCAGUGCUAGACAAAGCAAUAGUGGCUUGCUUCUUACUACACCAAGAAACAACCACUGACCCCAUGCUGAAAUAAUAACCUGAAAUGGAUCGACGAUCAAUUUCAUCUCUUUCCCAAUUUGCAUCAGAGAACCCUGUCAACAGAAAUUUAUUCUCCGUAGUAUACAGUAAGCCAUAAGCAAGAGAGCCUUUUAUGUAUCGUAGAAUUAUUUUGGCUGCAGUAAGAUGAGAUGUUCUUGAAUUUUGCAUGAACUGAGAGAUGAUACUCACUGAGUAUGAGAUCUCUGGCCUUGUUAUAGUUAAAUAGAUCAAACUACCAAUAAGUUAUCUAAAUCUUCUAGUAUCCUUCACUGGGUCUCCUUCUUCUUUCUUUAACUUCAUAUGAGUUUCCAUAGGAGUAGUUGUUACUCUUGACUCCCCCAAGCCAAAACAAACCAAAAGAUUCUUUGCAUAUCUGCUUUGAGAAAUAAAGUAGCCCCGAUCAAGUUUCAGCACUUCUAAGCCAAGAAAGCACUCAACCUCACCCAGAUUUUUCAUUUCAAACCGAAUUGAAAUAUCAUCUCUUAGCUGGGAAAUUUCCUCCACAUUGUCUCCAGUUAUUAUUAUGUCGUCAACAUAUAAUAAUGCUAACAACCGCAAAUCUGAUUCCAGUUUUACAAAUAAGCUAGAAUCUGCAUCAGCAACUUUAAAGCCACAAAAAAUAAAAUAUUGAGCAACCUUUCCAUACCAUGCACGUGGUGCUUGUUUGAGACCAUAUAGCGCCUUCUUCAACCGACAAACAUAAUUAGGAAAUUGUUUUGAUAUGAAUCCUUGUGGUUGCUCCAUUAUUACCUCUCGAUCUAACUCGCCGUAGAGGAAUGCAUUUUUGACGUCGAGUUGCCAAAUUUUCCAGUUUCUAUGAGCGGCAAGUGAGAAGAUGGACCUUACUGUAACCAUCUUUGCUACUGGGCUAAAAGCCUCUUCAUAAUCUAAUCCAUAGGAUUGAGAAAGGCCACGAGCAACAAGGCAUGCCUUGUAUCUGUCAAUCGUGCCAUCUAACUUUUUUCUUCAAGCGAUAAACCCAUUUGCAAGUGACUGGUUUACACUUUUAUGGUUUAGGUAUAAGCUCCCAUGUUUCAUUUUUAUGUAGAGCAUCAAUUUCCUCUUGCAUUGCUUUUUGCCAUUCUGGAUAGUCUUUAGUUUCUUCAUAGCUUGUUGGUUCGUCUUCACAUAGUGCUCCAAGAAAGAAAGCUGUGGUUACAGUACAAUGAUUGAGAUAAACUUCAUAGUCUUUUAAAUGUUCUGGCGGUUUUGAUUGCCUAGUAGAUCUUCUAAUUUCCUGCUCAUCUUCGUCUGAACUUUGAGUAUUCUGCCUUAACAAUUCUUCAUCACUUUGAUAAUUGGAGUCGUUGCAGGGUACUUGCACGUUGGUUUGAGAAGACAACUCCAAGUUGUCUUGAUUAUCAUAGAAAGCAUCACUCAUGACAGUUGAUUUCUGAUCAGAAUUCCAAGAAGACACUUCAUCAAACACAACAUCUCUAGAAGUGACAAAUUUCUUUGUCUUUGGAUCCAUGCACUUCCACCCUUUUCUAUUUGAGUCAUAGCCGACAAAUAUGCAUUUCUUGGCUUUUGGGUCUAGCUUGGUUCGACUUGCUUUAGGGAUGUGAACAUAGCAAGUAGAACCAAAUACUCGAAGGUAAUCUACAUUUGGCUUUUCCUUGUACAAAGUUUCAAAAGGAGCUUUUUCUUUACCUGGCCAUGGAGGUAGUCGAUUGAUCACAUGGCACGCACACUGAACUGCUUUUGCCCAAAGUUCCUCUAGGAAGAUUCUUGUCAUGCAACCAAGAGAGGCUUGUUGAAGUGAGAUGAGCUAACUUUCUCUCUGCAACUCCAUUUUGCUGCGGAGUAUUCGGACAAGUCAUUUGCUGUCUAAUGCCAUUGCUAUCACAAUAUUUAAAGAAUUCUUCUGACAUGAAUUCCCCACCAUUAUUAGUUCUCAGGCAGCCUAUUUUCUCCCCGAACUCUCCUUUUGUAGUGCUGUUAAAAUCAACAAAUUUGCUUAAUGCUUCAUUCUUUUCCUUCAAGAAGUACACCCAAGCGUACUUGGAAUAUUCAUCGACCAAAACCAUAGCAUUGUGAUAACCACUGUAGCUUGGUGUUUUUGUUGGUCCCAUCAAAUCAGCGUGAAUUAGCUCAAAUGGUCUUGAUCUAUGAUUUGAUGAGCUCUUGAAAAGUAGACAAUGUGAUUUUCCGUAUUGACAUCCUUGACAAAUCACAUCCUCAUGUACAUUCUUGAGAGCUGAUAUUCCAUUUAGCAACCUUUUUGAUGAGAUCAACUGCAACAUUUGAUAGCCAACAUGACCGAGUCCAGCAUGCCAAAUGUUUGAGUUGUCAAUCUGACUUGUUUUCUUUACAUAUGCCUCUCCUACUGACAUUACAAAUAGAGAAUCCUUCUUUUCACCGACAAGCACGACAUCAGCUACAAUAUUCUUUAAAUUGUCAAGAAUUUUCACAUCAUUAGGACCGAACAGAACAUAUUUCCCAGAAUGUGUAAUUUGAGAUACAGAAACCAAAUUCUUCUUCAAACCUGGUACGUGGUAAACGUCAUUUAACCUCACAUUUGAAUUAGGAGCACCAAUCUUCACAACUCCUUCUUUCACUACUGGAUAAGUUGAGUUGUCUGCUAUGAUGAUAACUCGUUCUCCAUUAUGUUGCCGAAGCUCUGAAAAUAAUAAGUCAUUCCCAGUAACAUGAUGAGAGCAACUAGAAUCAAUAAUCCAUUCAUCUUUGUAAUUGACAUAGUUAACUGGUGUUUUAUGUUCUUCAGGUUUGAGAGUUUUUCUGCUCAUUUCUACUGCCUAUGUAGUGAAACAUUGCUCCCAAUUGAGAUGAUCAUCUUCUUCAUCUUCACAAACAAGAUUGGCUUUAGAUAGCUUCACUCGACAAUCUUUCUUGAUAUGCCCAAUCUUUCCGCACCUGUAGCAUCUGAUGGGUUUAUUACUUUGCAAAGUGUCACCUAUCUUCUUCCUAUUUGUGUUAUCAUUUGAGCUUUUAUCCCUUUCUCUUGAGACCAGAAUUGCAUCAUGUUUUGAAUUGAAGUUCUUGCUCAUUUGAUUUGCCAAAGUCUCCUGGUUAGAAAGCAAAUUUUCUAGUUCUUCAACAGUUGGUUGAGUUGCCCAUCCUUGAAUGGAAGUGACAAACGGCAAGUAUUCCUUUUUCAAUCCAUGAAUAGUGAAUCGAAGCAGGCGAGCUUCACUAAUAUUCUCACUUGCGUCCAGUUCUGAAAUUUCAGCACAUAUACUUUUGACCCGCAAAAAAUAUUCUGCAAUUGUCAUAUUGCCUUGAAUCGUCAUCGCCAAAUCAUUUUCCAAGUAC
rnacentral:lncRNA from 1 species